rnacentral:rRNA from 1 species
AUUGAACGCUGGCGGCAUGCCUUACACAUGCAAGUCGAACGGUAACAGGUUAAGCUGACGAGUGGCGAACGGGUGAGUAAUGUAUCGGAGCGUGCCCAGUCGUGGGGGAUAACUACUCGAAAGAGUGGCUAAUACCGCAUACGACCGGAGGGUGAAAGCGGGGGACCGUAAGGCCUCGCGCGAUUGGAGCGGCCGAUAUCAGAUUAGCUAGUUGGUGGGGUAAAAGCCCACCAAGGCGACGAUCUGUAGCUGGUCUGAGAGGACGACCAGCCACACUGGGACUGAGACACGGCCCAGACUCCUACGGGAGGCAGCAGUGGGGAAUUUUGGACAAUGGACGCAAGUCUGAUCCAGCCAUGCCGCGUGCGGGAAGAAGGCCUUCGGGUUGUAAACCGCUUUUGUCAGGGAAGAAACGAGUUUCUCUAAUACAGAGACUUAAUGACGGUACCUGAAGAAUAAGCACCGGCUAACUACGUGCCAGCCGCCGCGGUAAUAC